CCUACGGGUGGCAGCAGUGAGGAAUAUUGGUCAAUGGGCUUACGCCUGAACCAGCCAAGUCGCGUGAGGGACGACUGCCCUACGGGUUGUAAACCUCUUUUGUCAGGGAGCAACGCCGGCUACGUGUAGCCGGACUGAGAGUACCUGAAGAAAAAGCAACGGCUAACUCCGUGCCAGCCGCCGAGGUAAUACGGAGGAUGCGAGCGUUAUCCGGAUUUAGUGGGUUUAAAGGGUGCGUAGGAGGAAUGCCAAGUCAGCGGUAAAAUCGCGGGGCUAAAACUCGCGCCGAGGUUGAAUCUGGCGUUCUUGAGUGGGCGAGAAGUAUGCGGAAGGCGUGGUGUAGCGGUGAAAUGCAUAGAGAUCACGCAGAACUCCGAUUGCGAAGGCAGCAUACCGGCGCCCAACUGACGCUGAAGCACGAAAGCGUGGGUAUCGAACAGGAUUAGAUACCCGUGUAGUC
rnacentral:rRNA from 1 species